UGAUUGAAGGUUUUAUAAUUUUUGUCGUUAUUGCACCAGAAUAUUGAAUUAGGGUUAUAUUUUCAGGUGGCUGAUAAAGGAAUUCCGUUGAUUUAAGCAGCUAAUGGAGGCUGAAAGGCAGCGGAGCCAAUAGAAGUAAAGCUGGUAGCUGACUUGUAUUCAAAUCUUGGAAGAUGGAUGCCCGCGCGCUGUGCGAUCUACUACAUUGAUAAGACCUCAUCGCCAAUCUAUAGCUGUGGAUUACCUCAUCACAUCCUCAUAAUAUUAUUAAUCGCAAAUGGAGUUUUCUUCAGGAAAGGCAAUCAAUCGGCAGUCGACAUUGAUGAAUUACGACCGAGACUAUAAACUGACUGAGACAAUAAAUGUAGACAUUUAUCAUUUUAUGUUUUUUC